UGUUUUCCUUUUUUCCCACUAUCCAGUAACACACUCGACUGUUUUUAUUUCUGCCAUUGCUCCUAUUCUUGCAAUUAAAGUAUUUGGUGUCCCUAAAACUAUAACGUAUUUCUGAAGUACCAUCACUUCGAUGUCAACUUUUUCUUGCAGAGAACAUGUAGAUGGAUAUUCAACACAUGAUCACAUUGAAAUUCAAAUUAACAAUUAAUACUUGUUAAUCAUCCAUAUCUAAGGUGGUUAAUUCCUUAAUCUGGAAAUCUUCUGGGGGCUGACCAUUAUCUUCAUGCACAGAUGACUUUCAAACAUGUCAUGUAUUGUUACCUUAAGAGUAAAGUCUCAUCCAGAUAUUGAACAUUACCUCUCUCAACUGAGAGGAGGAGCGAUUCGGAGAAUACCAUGAAGUACAAAGAACUAUUGUGGCACAUCCGGUUAGAUGCUGGAUCUUAUCCAGGCCCAGUUGUGGAAGAAGACGAUAAAGAGGAAGAAGUGAGAUUACUAUCAUGUUGUGCUGCACUGGCAGAUCAUUUGGGCACUGCUUCAGUAAUGGCCAUGAGCUCUGCCUCUCAGCUGCCAUAGGAGUUAACUUUCAUUUGUUGCACAUUUGUUACCAUUGAAGGAAAUUUAUCAUGCUUGCCUUAUUAAAUAGGU